rnacentral:rRNA from 1 species
UACGUAGGUGGCAAGCGUUGUCCGGAUUUAUUGGGUUUAAAGGGUGCGUAGGCGGCCCUGUAAGUCAGUGCUGAAAUAUCCCGGCUUAACCGGGAGGGUGGCAUUGAUACUGCAGGGCUUGAGUAAAGUUGAGGUUGGCGGAAUUGACGGUGUAGCGGUGAAAUGCUUAGAGAUCAGGAAGAACACCGGUGGCGAAAGCGCUCUGCUGGACCUUAACUGACACUGAGGGACGAAAGCUAGGGGAGCGAAUGGG